rnacentral:sRNA from 2 species
CGCACUCCCGCGCUGAGCUUCGUCGGGGAGUGCCUCGCCGGAGACACCGGGCAGACGAAGGUGGGGGACCCAGUGGCCGCGAUCCGGCCCGGUCGUCGUGAGACGACCUCGGGGUGAAGCCGAGUUUCUCGGCCGGGCAGCCUGACGCCCGAACCCGACAGCUAACCCCACAAGCGCCGUCAGGAGAGGAU